UCUGACGCUGGCUGUAGUAUCCAUGGGGGGGGGGGCGAGGGAAUCGCCGCAGUGACCUGCUGCUUCCCCUUAGCGACCAAAGAAGAGUGCUCCCUUUCCACUGCAACUGAACAGUUUAUACAGCUAAUGUUGGGCAUUGCUACAGUGACAGCUCUGCAGGGUAAUCGGUCAAGGAAAGCUUUAGUGCAACAAUAAGUGAAAGGUGAAUGAACAAGAGAAAAGGAGAGAAUAAUAAAAGGGGUGAGAAACGUUUGACAUUUAAAAGCAUUUUAUUUAACCAUUUUUUUUCAAAAGAGCAGAGAGGGAGAAGGAGAAUGUGUGCGUAUGUGUGUGUGUGUGUGAGAGAGAGAGAGAGAGAGAAAGAAAGAGAGAGAGACACAUGCACACCCACACUCACACACACACCCAUCAACUACACACACACACACACCCACCUACACACCCCUCCCCCACACACACACACACCCACACACACACACACACACACAAGCACACCCUCCACUUCCUGAGGAUGCCGGAGCACUGUGUUACAGUUACAGUUAUAUCUGCAGGGAUGAGUCAUGGCCGUCCUGCAGGAGCAGACUGCCCGGGCAGACAGCUGCCAUCUGCUUAUCAGCAGCCAGCAUUCCCGCUCUGUCGCCAGGGGGGUGUGUGUUCCCGUACUGACACAAUGGGGCGGCGGGCCUUCUGCUGCCUGGAAAUCUCCACUCCAGGAGCCCCUACGUUUCUGGGCUGGAGACUGCUAAUGAUAAUGGAAUAUACUGUAAUUGUAUUGAAACAAAAAAAUAUCUUAAAAUAAAUGUUUUAGCAGAUGCUGCGUUAUAUUUACAUAUACAUGUUUUACAUAAAACAGUGUAAGUUAACAAUAGAAGGCUACUAGCUUUCCACGGAAGGAUGCAUCAGCGCAAAAAAUCUUCAAAAAAUAUCCAAGGCAGUCUCACCCCCAAGUUGGUAGGUUAAGUAAAAAGCUAAAUUUAUGAACUCAGUAAAACAGUGGAGCGCUGCCAGCCUCAUAUUGCGGUAUGUUUCAUUUCCAUAUGGAUUAAAGUCAGCCAGGCUGAGACUGUGGCUCACCAGAGGAGGCCUCAGGUAGACCCCAUCUCUGUGACCGGUGACCUCAUCACGAAUGCUGUAUAUCUGUGCCGACGGCCACGCAGUAGGGGAGAGACAUAUUUCAUAUCCUGGUGGUAACAAUGCCAUGUACUGUUCAUCACAAUAGCCUCAGCAGCAAGACCUGCCUUUGUCCUAUUGUGUCCCCAGAGUUCACCAUGCAGGAGCCUCACCAUGGAUACCCAUGCAGAUAUUCUGAAGGUCAUGUGAUUGUGAAGCACAGGGCUAUUUUCGGCCAGCGGGAUACUGUGGGGCUUUGCAGUUCUUAAGGUGCUUUCCUUCCAUUUACAUAUUUUAUUUCCCCCAAACCUCCCUGUGUCUCCUUACAUUUUCAGAGGAAAACCUUGUCUCUCAGGUUUCUUCUGGUUUUUUAAUGCAUUUACUCAUCCAACCUGAUUGGAUUUUCUUUCACUUUAAACCUGGAUUGGGGAAGCCUUUCAGGUUUUCAAAGAAAAUUCAGUGGGCAUAAAGUGUAAGACACAACUGUAUAAACUACACCGUGACUCUACGUUUAAACAUAAAUUCUAGAGCAUGGGAAUGAAAACUGAGACUAUUUGUGUGUUGCACUGCAUGACUGCUUCUGAACAUGCACAGCACCCUGUUGUAAUGUGUUAGCCAAUAGGUUUUAUCUGAUUGGCAUACUUUCCAGUCCAGCAGGAACUGCACAUUUAUUUCUGAUGUAAUGCAUGUUUCCCUCCCUGCACUGAAGACUACGACUCAAACCUGAAUGAUAGAACAGCAUGUCUUGCCAUGAAAUCCAUAUCCACAGUUUAACAGAAAGGGGCCUGGCCUACUCAGGAUGUGAUGUCAUAAAACAGCAGCACCGGAUCCCUCUUCCAGAUGACACUCUGUGUCAUCAUCACGCAAACUCAGGCUUUGUAAACAUUUGCAGGCAAGCAGGGGAAUCUGGGGAGACUGAAAUGUGCUCGUUUAAUCCCAGGCGGCUUUGUUUCCAUGGUGCCCUGUUCAGCGCCCUUUGUGACAAGAUUCUUGAGAACCACAUCAUGCCUCCUGGUGUUUCUGAAACCCAAGAGCAGCACCAUCCUUCUGUAUCGUCCUCUAUAAAGGGUGUCUGGAUGGUUGUCUGGAUUUGUGACUUUGUGAAGGCAGCAACACAAGUAAAAUUAUACCUUUAAUUUUCUGCGUUAAUGGUUAUGUGUGUAUGGUUAUGACCGAAGUGUUUGUAUUGUGAAGGCCUAGCCUUAAUGUUAUUGUGCGUAGCAUGUAUUGAGCUCAGAGACAUUAGUGAUUGUGUGAAUGGCUGUUUAGGACAUGUGAUGUCAGCUUCAAAUUUACCAUGAAUUGAUCAUUUUCAUUUCAAGUUUUCAUAAUUAUUUCAUUUCUCAUGAAUAUUUAUAAUUAUUAUUUAUCGUUUUUCUAUACCAGCUCAAUUAAUUCAUUAAUUCAGUAUAGUCAUUUGGGUUAAAAUGUGUUAGGUUUAAUAUUAAUAAUAUUAAUAUAAUAUGUGUUCUCAUUAAGAUUACUUGGUUGAGAUGAGCUUGUGACUACUGUGCCUGAUAACACCAUCAAUUUGCCUCACCAAGGACAGUAUAAAACCAUUGUUCACCAGAAUGCAGGUUAGUACAAGACCCAUUUUGAUGAUCCUGUAGGUUCACAGUACACAAUAAAAUAUUUAGUGUUAAAUCAAUCUGAGUGCACUUGAUUCCUCUUGGACUCAUACAGAUUAAAAAAAAAUUGUGUAGGUUGUGAUGUUUUAAGUGCCUGUUGACAUUUAAAAUAAAAGCAUGAAAAUGUCCUAGUCCUGGUGGCCAGCUGGGGUGUGUGGGGGUAAUUUAAUUAGUUUUGAGGUACUUUCCUUUCUGAAUAAUAGUGAAAUAGCGAUGCCACUGCUGUGUAUUCAUUUAGAGCUGUUAUUUUAGGGUGUAGUGUUUCUCAGGUGUUGUGGGUUGGUCACAUAUUGUAGCCAUCUUGCAUAGAGUAAUUGUUACCCUGAACACCAGCUGCCUUCAGUGUGUCUUUAAAAAUAUAUAUAUUUUACUGCAUCAUUAAAUUGUCUGUUUCCUUAAACUUGUCUCUGUCUGCAUUUUUUGCUGCUAAAGUUUCCCUCCAGAUUUCUCUCUCAUUAUUUUACUCAUACCGCCAUCAUACAGGAGACUUCAAACCAACGGCAGUCUGCUCUCCUUCAUUUGGAUCAAACCAAACAGCGCUCCCUCAAAGAAAAAUGGCCUGCAACCUGAGCCUUUUAAAGCAGGCAACAAUGAGUUUCUGCUGUAUGCUCCCACAAACAAUAGGCCCCUUUAUUGCCACAAUCUCCCAGCUAAAAUCCACAAGGCAAAACCCUUUCUCCUUGCUGUGUUCCCGGCGGAGCGCGGUGACUGAGCUGCGGUCAGGAUCUUGCGCAGGCCUGGAGGUUUAUGGAACAGAGGCUUCAAGGACAUUCUCAGGGAGUGUGGCAUUGGGUAGUUAGCCUAAGGUAGCAUUCUCCAUUUGUGCACUUUACUGCAGCAAUUAAACAUUUACAGCAUAAAUCUCAAGGUCCCUAACAAAGUACAGGAAUUAUAAGUCAGAAGGAAUUUUCAUUUCUCCCAGUCCUUCACAGUUGUUCCCAGGCCGACCGAAUGAACAAAUAGCUGGGCACACACUGGUAAUGCAUUCAUUGUGUAACAAUUAGGGAGUAAAGUGCUUCAGUGCUCUCUCAAACGGUGUUAAGGAUAUUUCUGAUAAGUGUGUGGACUUUGCUACGUUCAGCUUUAUUGUUUGCACUUGCUGCUUGAUUGAACAGACAUAAUCUUAAAGUGCGCACUAGUGCGUGUAGCUUGCAACCUUGGCUUGGUCAGAGCACCACUAUGCUUAACUAAUGAUCAACUAAUGAUGGUUUCUCAGUAACCUUCAUGUCCUUCUUAGGCCUUUCCAAAUUGUGACUUUCCUGCGAUUAGCAACUGAGUAAGUUCACUCGAUUGUCAACAAUGUUAGUUUUGCUUUUCAGAGGAAAAACCAAGCCCCUUACUUUUGUACAACAGUGUGCAAUAACCUUAAAUAUUACGCAAUGGCAGGCUAUAGCAUUUGUGGGUCAAUCAAUCAUGCUUUUCAGCCUGUUGUAAGCUUCAGCUAUAAACUCUGGAAAUGCCACCUGACUACAACACACAUACACACACACACACAGUCACAUACAUACACACACCUACACACACACACACACACACACACACACAGGACCUUAAGCUGGCCAGUUUCCAAGGUCAAAUAAUACUACCAAACAAUGGCACUGCCAUUGAAGACCCAGAAGCACAGUGCAGUACAGUUCUAACCUGAGACUGCCUGUUCUCAGAGAUUGAGCACAUUAUCAACAUGUCUAUUGUCUGUGACACAAGCAUUAAGCACUGCCAGCAUUGUAAGAAGCAAUCCAGUAGUCUCUGCAUGAUGCAUUGUGUCGCACCUCUAAUAGGUCUAAUAGGUUUUUUGAAAUAAUUUACAGCAAGGCUUAGAAUUGAAAUUAAUUUAUUAAGAAAUCCCCACUGAAUAUUAUAUUCUAUAAUAGUUUUCAUACCAUUCAAGUAAAUCACUGAAAGAUCACAAGCACUGCAGCAAGCUUCCAAAGUUGUGCAGUUUGUCCAAAGUUGGCAAAGUUACAUAAUCUCAAAAGCUAAUUCAUCAUGAUAAGCGAACUGAUUAAAGUGAAUACGCUGUAGGUUCUUGUUUUAUGUUAGCUGAAUAUGGCUGUCAUCCCCAGUAAGAAGUAGCCAUGGGCUUGUGGGGACAUCUGCACCUCUGCACCUUGAACUGAUGCAAUUGUUGUACGUCGCUCUGGACGAGCGUCUGCUAAAUGCCUGUAAUGUAAUGUAAUGUAAUGCAUGGUAAUUGUGGGAUCUUUCAGGACAUUCCCAGAACAGGUAUGUGAAGCUGUCUAGUGAAUUCAGAUUAUCAAGUACCAGCUACAAGGUGUAUUGUAAUAUCUUUCAUUUUUAAGUGGAUAUAAGAAAUCAAACAUAUGACGAAACAAGUUUAACAAAAUAUGAAGUGGUGUAUUCUAGGCAGUUUUGUUUUUUUCUUUUUGUUUUUAAAACAAUCUGUUAAUAAUAACCUAGCAUGUUCUUGUCACAUUAUCAUUAGCUUGAACUGCUGAAUUAACAACAAUAUUGACUGAAUUCCCUUGAAUGUGCCGCCAGUUUGCUUGUCAUGAAUGUUUUAAUAGAUAAUCAGAUUAUUUGAAUAAUUAAAGGCUUUGAGAAUGAUCAUUUUGAAUUUAAGGAAGCCAUAAACGUGAGUAUCAGUAGAAAAAUUCUUUUUGGGUUAAAAUUUAAUUUUUCACUGUGGCAUUAUUGUACCUGAAUGUUAUUAUAAACAUACACCAUCUAAUAUUGCUUUCUUCCUUUCUCUUUUUCCCCUUCUCUCCAUCACUUUAUCCCUCUUCCUCUCUUUCUCACAGCAUGUCCAUGGCUUAAAAUCCAGUAAUAAUAGACAGCGCCACAAAUCUCUUCAUAGCAAUCAUAAUCAAGCAAUAUUACACUGUGGAGCACUUAAGCCUUCUUAACAUUACCCACUGCGAUGCAGUAAGUGUGUUCAAGGAAUUAUCUGGCAUCUCCAAACACAACAGAUGCCCUUAUUAUUACUAGAAAAAUGUGUAGUCGUGUGCUUGUGUCUUGAUUUGAUUCAGGUUUAUAACAUGCGGUCAGUUAGAUGACCUUCUCAAAGGUACUUUUUGUGUGCAUGUAAAAAUCUGAAAGGACUUUAAAUGUGCAUUUUUCUUGAAGUAGGAAUAAUUCAAUUCUCCAACAGUGGCUUGGACCACUUACAGUAUGUUGGGUUGUCACAUUCUGUCUGCUAUAUGUUUGAAGUGAGAGUGUGAAAUCCAAUAGUAAGAGUUUGCCAGGCCACUUGACACUUAAGCACAAGUCACUCCCUGGUUUGACUAUACUGUUAAAUUAAACAUUUGAACCUGCUGGUUGUCAAACAAGUUUGGACAAUUGCAAUCAAUCUAAACCUCAGAUUAAAUUACUUUUUUUGUCAGAACUGCGUUACAAGUUGGUAACACAGUAUUUUAGUUUUUUUUUGUUUGUUUUUUUGACAGUCAUGCCACAUGAACCACCUGCCUGGAAACUAGGGACUGCGUGAUUGAUAGAAAUGUAUCCAAAAAAAAAAAAAAAACAUGCAUCUGUGUUUUGUUUAGUGUAAGCCAAUUAGUUAUACACACAAGCUUCUGAAAUGAUAUAUUUCCAUGAAUCAUUGUCCAGCAAAAUGUGAACAAAAUGUUCAAAUACAUUCCAUUGUUAAACACACAGAAGAUAAGCACAUUAUUUACGUAUCUCGGGUAUAUCUUGAAAAUAGAUUCACCACCACAGUCCCACAGAGUGUAAAAUAAGAUUUGUGUUUUCUGGAUUAAUUGUACUGAGAAAAAAAUGUGUGAUUUUCCAAAGGGGGGUCAAAAUCCUUUCUGAUCGCUAAGGAUCAGAAAAAUCUUAGAUUCACAUGUUUUUCUGGUGUCCCUUUGCUUUUAUAAAAUACACUACGAGGGUGCGACCGAAAGCGCUUACACUUAGCUUUAGAGCUAAGCUCUGGCUGUGUAGAGAAAUAGACGGAUAUCCAGGAGGAGGUCUAGAUCUCUCCAAAUCCAUGUCUCUGAAAAAACACUUUUGUAUGAUCAUUUAAGCAAAAUGGUCAGAAACACAGGAUUAACCAUAUUUCAAAACUGUAAACACUGAGAUGCAAACUGCAAGGCCUACACAAUCAUUGCUUUUCAUUUUGAUUACAAUCCACUAGCAGUUCAUUAUUUAGCCAUCAGCUUCUGCAUUUGUCCAACAUAAUUUGAGUCCAAAAUAAUAAAGCUUCAUUCCUUUGACACAAGAACAAUAAAACCAGUCCUCGGCAGUACACAACAAGGUAAUGAGAAGCCAGUGGUAAUGGGAAUAACACUUAACAAUGAUCUUUUACUGCAGUGGUGGCUAAAGAAGAGAAUGAUAAAGCAAGAUAAAAUGUGUUGUAUACACAGAAUAAAAAUCAGGUUUACAGUAUAGGUAGCGAUAGAGGUUAGGUACAUGAUAAGCAGCUGCCAGUUUCCUGCUUUUUAUUGACUUCCAUGUCAAUAAUAAAGAACACAGUGCCCUCAUAAUGCAAUGCCAUCUAAAAAGCCUUUAUCAGGAGUAUACAAUGCUCUGCACCAAUGAAAUCUGUGGAGACACAAGUCAAUAUCUAUUGGCUAGUUUCAGAAAUUAAAUUUGUGCUUCACUAAUGGUUAGUUAUAAAUACACAUGCAAUUAAUCUGUUAAAUAUGUUUUCGAGAAAUAUUACUUUGGACCUUACAUUUUUCCAAGACAAUUUAAAUUGCAAAAAACAAAAACAAAAACAAAAACAAAUAAAAUCAUGAUUCAGAACCCUAAA